AACGAACGCUGGCGGCAUGCCUAACACAUGCAAGUCGAACGAGACCUUCGGGUCUAGUGGCGCACGGGUGCGUAACGCGUGGGAACCUGCCCUUAGGUUCGGAAUACCUCCCCGAAAGGGGUGCUAAUACCGGAUAAUGUCUUCGGACCAAAGAUUUAUCGCCUUUGGAUGGGCCCGCGUUGGAUUAGCUAGUUGGUAGGGUAAAAGCCUACCAAGGCGACGAUCCAUAGCUGGUCUGAGAGGAUGAUCAGCCACACUGGGACUGAGACACGGCCCAGACUCCUACGGGAGGCAGCAGUGGGGAAUAUUGGACCACGGGCGAAAGCCUGAUCCAGCAAUGCCGCGUGAGUGAUGAAGGCCUUAGGGUUGUAAAGCUCUUUUACCCGGGAUGAUAAUGACAGUACCGGGAGAAUAAGCUCCGGCUAACUCCGUG
rnacentral:rRNA from 1 species